rnacentral:rRNA from 1 species
CCUACGGGUGGCUGCAGUGGGGAAUAUUGCGCAAUGGGCGAAAGCCUGACGCAGCGACGCCGCGUGGAGGAUGAAGGUUUUCGGAUUGUACACUCCUUUUGUUAGGAAAGACAAUGACGGUAUCUAACGAAUAAGCACCGGCUAACUCCGUGCCAGCAGCCGCGGUACUACGGAGGGUGCAAGCGUUACUCGGAAUAACUGGGCGUAAAGAGCACGUAGGCGGGAUAGCAAGUCAGAUGUGAAAUCCUAUGGCUUAACCAUAGAACUGCAUUUGAAACUGUUAUUCUAGAGUAUGGGAGAGGUAGGUGGAAUUCUUGGUGUAGGGGUAAAAUCCGUAGAGAUCAAGAGGAAUACUCAUUGCGAAGGCGACCUGCUAGAACAUAACUGACGCUGAUGCGCGAAAGCGUGGGGAGCAAACAGGAUUAGAUACCCUUGUAGUC